CGGUCGAGCGGAGGACAUUAUCGAGUUUUGAGUGGGCCUCUUGAGCUGGCAUUGCAGGUGCUUAGAGGUUCCCACUCCCAUCCUCUCAACCCCUGUGCACUUCUGAGCGCAAGUGAGUGGUCAGUCUUCUUUCCCCUUAUGAAAGGAGGGGAGACCAGUCUUUCAAGCUGGUAUUGACUUGAUGCUUACUUCGUUUGUUAUUAACUCUUAUAAUGUCUUGUAGAAUGCAUUGCCUCUCUGCAGGCGAAAUGUAAUACAACUUUCAACAACGGAUCUCUUGGCUCUCGCAUCGAUGAAGAACGCAGCGAAAUGCGAUAAGUAAUGUGAAUUGCAGAAUUCAGUGAAUCAUCGAAUCUUUGAACGCACCUUGCGCUCCUUGGUAUUCCGAGGAGCAUGUCUGUUUGAGUGUCAUGUUAUUCUCAAUCCCUUUGGUUUUUAAAUGAACCUCUGGGUUUGGUAUUGGAGGUCUAUGCUGGUUUUACAGUCGGCUCCUCUUGAAUAUAUUAGCUGGGUUUUUGCUCGAUGCAAUGGUGUAAUAAUUAUCUUCACCGAUGCAACUUGCAAUUAAAGCUUGCUUCUAAUUGUCUUAAUCCGAGACAUUAUAAGGGCAAUGGUCCUUUGAUAUCUUUGACCUCAAAUCAGAUAGGACUACCCGCUGAACUUAAGAU
rnacentral:rRNA from 1 species